UGUCAGCCGGGUGUUGGACGUCCCGGUUUAAGCGUGUAGGCGUGCCCCUUAGGCAAAUCCGGGGGGCUGAGCUGAGGCGUGAUGACGAGGAACCACGGUUCCGAAGUGAUUGAUACCAAGCUUCCAGGAAAAGCCACUAAGCUUCAGUCUAGAGUUGACCGUACCGCAAACCGACACAGGUGGGCAGGAUGAAAAUUCUAAGGCGCUUGAGAGAACUCAGGAGAAGGAACUCGGCAAAUUAACACCGUAACUUCGGGAGAAGGUGUGCCCCGGUAGCUGUAGAGACUUGCUCUCGAAGCGCGAUGGGGUUGCAGUGAAAUGGUGGCUGCGACUGUUUAAUAAAACACAGCACUCUGCAAACACGAAAGUGGACGUAUAGGGUGUGACGCCUGCCCGGUGCCGGAAGGUUAAGUGAUGGGGUGCAAGCUCUUGAUCGAAGCCCCGGUAAACGGCGGCCGUAACAAUAACGGUCCUAAGGUAGCGAAAUUCCUUGUCGGGUAAGUUCCGACCUGCACGAAUGGCGUAACGAUGGCCACACUGUCUCCUCCUGGGACUCAGCGAAGUUGAAAUGUUUGUGAAGAUGCAAUCUACCCGCGGCUAGACGGAAAGACCCCAUGAACCUUUACUGUAGCUUUGCAUUGGACUUUGAACCGGUUUGUGUAGGAUAGGUGGGAGACUGUGAAGCCGGGACGCUAGUUUCGGUGGAGUCAACCUUGAAAUACCACCCUGAUUUGUUUGAGGUUCUAACCUUGGUCCGUGAAUCCGGAUCGGGGACCGUGCAUGGUAGGCAGUUUGACUGGGGCGGUCUCCUCCCAAAAGGUAACGGAGGAGUACGAAGGUACGCUUAGGGCGGUCGGACAUCGCCCACAAAGUGCAAUGGCAAAAGCGUGCUUGACUGCGAGACCCACAAGUCGAGCAGGUACGAAAGUAGGUCAUAGUGAUCCGGUGGUUCUGUAUGGAAGGGCCAUCGCUCAACGGAUAAAAGGUACUCUGGGGAUAACAGGCUAAUUCCUCCCAAGAGUUCAUAUCGACGGGGGAGUUUGGCACCUCGAUGUCGGCUCAUCACAUCCUGGGGCUGUAGUCGGUCCCAAGGGUAUGGCUGUUCGCUAUUUAAAGUGGUACGCGAGCUGGGUUUAAAACGUCGUGAGACAGUUUGGUCCCUAUCUGCCGUGGGCGCUGGAAAUUUGAAGGGGGCUGCUCCUAGUACGAGAGGACCGGAGUGGACGAACCUCUGGUGUACCGGUUAUGACGCCAGUCGUAUCGCCGGGUAGCUAAGUUCGGAAGAGAUAAACGCUGAAAGCAUCUAAGCGUGAAACUCGCCUUAAGAUAAGAUUUCCCGGAGUCUUGAACUCCCUGAAGGGUCGUCGAAGACCACGACGUUGAUAGGUCAGGUGUGGAAGCGCAGCAAUGCGUUAAGCUAACUGAUACUAAU
rnacentral:rRNA from 1 species